GCCGGGGUAGGGUAGCGGUAUAUCCUAUGGCCCUGUGGAGGCCAAGACUCGAGUUCGAAUCUCGGCCCCGGCC
rnacentral:tRNA from 1 species